rnacentral:lncRNA from 1 species
GGACUUCGGUCCAUUUUGGUGUGCUCUAGUUCGAUGGUGUGGAUUCAGGAGCGAGUAACUGGUCUAGAUGGGAAUUAAUGAAGCGUUCCUAAAGGUGUUAGUAGCUAAUUGGUGUGCUCUGAUUUCAAGGAAGGAAUUGAGGAGCGAAAUGGAUAUAUGUUGUCCAUAAUGGUACCGCAUGCAUGUAGAGUUGUGGUGUUAAGUACAUUGCAUCUAUUGUUUACAUAUGAUUAUGUUGAUAUUGGUGGUUGAGAAUACUUAAGUGGUUGAUGUGAAUGAAUUAUGUUAGAAUGGUGUGAAUGAAG